UACGGAGGGUGCAAGCGUUAUCCGGAUUCGCUGGGUUUAAAGGGUGCGUAGGCGGGCAGGUAAGUCCGUGGUGAAAUCUCCGAGCUUAACUCGGAAACUGCCAUGGAUACUAUUUGUCUUGAAUGUUGUGGAGGUGAGCGGAAUAUGUCAUGUAGCGGUGAAAUGCUUAGAUAUGACAUAGAACACCAAUUGCGAAGGCAGCUCACUACACAAAUAUUGACGCUGAGGCACGAAAGCGUGGGGAUCAAACAGG
rnacentral:rRNA from 1 species